GCUCCCGUAGCUCAACGGACAGAGCAACUGACUUCUAAUCAGUAGGCUGGGGGUUCGAGUCCCUCCGGGAGCG
rnacentral:tRNA from 1 species